AUUGAACGCUGGCGGCAGGCCUAACACCUGCAAGUCGAACGAAUGACGGACGGGUGAGUAAUGGCUGGGAAACUGCCUUAUGGAGGGGGAAAACUACUGGAAACGGUAGCUGAUACCGCAUAAAAUCGGGUGUGCCGAGCUGGGAUUAGCUAGUAGGUGGGGGAAAGGCUCACCUAGGCGACGAUCCCUAGCUGGUCUGAGAGGAUGACCAGGCACACUGGAACUGAGACACGGGCCAGACUCCUACGGGAGGCAGCAGUGGGGAAUAUGGCGCAAUGGGCGCAGGCCUGAUGCAGCCAUGCCGCUUGUAUGAAGAAGGCCUUCGGGUUGUAAAGUACGUCCAGCGGGGCGGCGUUACCCGCAGAAGAAGCACCGGCUAACUCCGUGCCAGCAGCCGCGGUAAUAC
rnacentral:rRNA from 1 species